AAUAUUGGACAAUGGGCGCAAGCCUGAUCCAGCAAUGCCGCGUGUGUGAAGAAGGCCUGCGGGUUGUAAAGCACUUUCAGUGGGGAAGAACGGGUCCGGGCCAAUACCCCGGAUCACUGACGUUACCCACAGAAGAAGCACCGGCUAACUCCGUGCCAGCAGCCGCGGUAAUACGGAGGGUGCAAGCGUUAAUCGGAAUCACUGGGCGUAAAGCGCACGUAGGCGGCCCGUUAAGUCAGAUGUGAAACCCCUGGGCUCAACCUGGGAAUGGCAUUUGAUACUAGCGCGCUCGAGUCUGAUAGAGGGGGGUGGAAUUCCAGGUGUAGCGGUGAAAUGCGUAGAUAUCUGGAGGAACACCGGUGGCGAAGGCGGCCCCCUGGAUCAUGACUGACGCUGAGGUGCGAAAGCGUGGGUAGCAAACAGG
rnacentral:rRNA from 1 species